CAGUAGCCACGGUAAUACGAAGGUCCCGAGCGUUGUUCGGAAUCACUGGGCGUAAAGGGAGCGUAGGCGGCGUGGUAAGUCAGAUGUGAAAUCCCGGGGCUCAACCCCGGAACUGCAUCCGAUACUGCCAUGCUAGAGGAUUGGAGAGGUAGCUGGAAUUCUUGGUGUAGCAGUGAAAUGCGUGGAGAUCAAGAGGAACACUCGUGGCGAAAGCGAGCUACUGGACAAUAACUGACGCUGAGGCUCGAAGGCCAGGGUAGCGAAAGGGAUUAGAUACCCGGGUAGUCCCUGUCUCUUAUAC
rnacentral:rRNA from 1 species